AACCCGCACAAGCGGUGGAGUAUGUUGUUUAAUUCGAAGAUACACGAAGAACCUUACCAGGUCUUGACAUACCAUUGACAGGUGUAGAGAUACACUCUCCUUCGGGCAAUGGAUACAGGUGGUGCAUGGUUGUCGUCAGCUCGUGCCGUGAGGUGUUGGGUUAAGUCCCGCAACGAGCGCAACCCUCAUUGUUAGUUACUACCAUUUAGUUGAGGACUCUAAUGAGACUGCCAACGAUAAGUUGGAGGAAGUGGGGAUGACGUCAAGUCAUCAUGCCCUUUAUGACCUGGGCUACAAACGUACUACAAUGGCCAAUACAAAGAGAUGCGAAGCGGUGACGUGGAGCGAACCUCAGAAAGUUGGUCUCAGUUCAGAUUGAAGUCUGCAACUCGACUUCAUGAAGGCGGAAUCGCUAGUAAUCGCGGAUCAGCACGCCGCGGUGAAUACGUUCCCGGGCCUU
rnacentral:rRNA from 1 species